rnacentral:lncRNA from 1 species
CAAAAGGAGAUGAGUGUUAAAUAUAAAAAUGUUUAAACACCGUUCUCUAACAGCUUAAGCUUUUAGAGUAUAACGGUUGUUUCACAUGGUAUCAGAGCAGGAGGUCCUGAGUUCGAGUCACGCCAGGCUCCUAGCAUAUUAAUUUCUUCCUAUUUAAUUCAAGCCCACGUCAUGGACCGAUUAAAAAGUCUCGAGCCCAGACGUGAGGGAGAGUGUUAAAUAUAAAAAUGUUUAAACACCGUUCUCUAACAGCUUAAGCUUUUAGAGUAUAACGGUUGUUUCACAAUGAGGACAAAAGGCUUUGAUGCAUAAAUUAAUUGUUAAAAGAGUUGUGAAAGAAGUUUUUAAUUCCUUCAUGGGGUACUUGGGUUAGCAAAUAUAUAGAAUCUUCGGGGAAAAAGGAAAAAAAAAAUGAUUUGGGAAAUAUAUUUUAAGUUCCAUGGCAAGCUAGUCCAUGAAUCCAAUGGUCUUUGCGUCACGGAAUCUAAAUGAGUAUUUGGUCUUAAAUAUUUUCAUUUGGAAAUUUACGCAAAAAAAUUCAAAUAUUAAUCAUUUCCAUGCAUGAAUGAGAAUUAAUUUGUUGCAUAUUCAUGACAAUAUAUAAUUUGGACUCUUAAAAUUAGCCUGCAUUAUUAUUAUUAUUAUUAUUUUUUGAGAGAUAGGUAGCAUGCUACUCGCUUCAUUUAUUUCAUUUAGAAAUAAACUUAGCUAGAAAUGUGAAUCAAUUAGGAUUCGAACUUGGGUCUCGGGUAUCGACCACCAAGCCCUUUGCCACUUGCUCUAGGGACGGUCGGUAAUUAGCCUGCAUUAUUAAUCAUUUUAUUAAAGUAAUUAAAUCACAAAUUGCUC